rnacentral:sRNA from 1 species
AAUCCAUGAACAGCCUUAGUGAAGUGCCAUCAAGCAUAUGUAAAAGCCUAGUGGGGGUUAGAUAUUUUUAUGAAUAGUACUACUAAUAAAAAGUAAAAGUAUCACAAGCAGCGUGCUUUGGAGUCCACAGGAAGGAGUAAUUCACUUGGAGUGUCCCUUUACUAGGUAGCUCCCUCAGUUUGCUCCAGGCUGCUCUGUUGGGGGCCUCAGGAAGGAGGAUGCAGGUGAAACAGGUCAUAGGUGAGCCACAGAAGUAUUUUAAGCAGGAAAGAGCACUGUGCCCUUUUCAGGUGAUAGAGUCACCAGUAAACCAGAGCCCAUGCCUUGAGGGAGAGCCCCAAGGUGGGUCUGGGACUUGGGGAUGAGCUGGGAGUGGGAGGUCUUCCCUGCCUUUGGUGUGAUUAAUUACAUUUUCCUCUAGUGGCAGGAAGAAUGGCAACUCUAAGGUGUGGCUCCACCAAAAGAAUCCUCUCGGGCACCCUAAGGAACAGGCCCAGAGGCAGAGACUGAGGGAGCAGCAGCAAAUUUGGAUUCGAGAGAAGCUGAAGCAUUUGGAACAGAAGGAGGAGGUGGCAGAUGACCAGGUCAAAGGCCUGGUGGCUGAAGAGGAGAUGACUUGUGGGAGGACCACAGUCUG